UACGAGGGGUCCUAGCGUUGUUCGGAAUCAUUGGGCGUAAAGAGUCUGUAGGCGGUUUUGUAAGUCAGGUGUGAAAGCCCCGGGCUCAACCCGGGAAGUGCAUUUGAUACUGCUUAACUUGAAUGUUGGAGAGGAUAGUGGAAUUCCUGGUGUAGUGGUGAAAUACGUAGAUAUCAGGAGGAACACCGGUGGCGAAGGCGGCUAUCUGGCCAAACAUUGACGCUGAGAGACGAAAGCGUGGGGAUCAAAC
rnacentral:rRNA from 1 species